UCCCACCCCCCUAGCUUCUCCACCACCAAACACACCUGGGAGCUGCUCCCCUCCUCCCCUGCUCAGCCUGCCCUCCCCCCACCCCUGGCCCUGCUCCCCAAACACAUCUGGGGGCUACCCUUCCUUCCCUUGCUCCUCCCACCUGGCUGUACCCUGUACCCCCAAACACUCUGGGGGGCUGCCCUGGCCCUCCUGCCCUGCUAAAACCCACCUGCCCAGCUCCACACCCCCAAACACCUCUGGGGGUUGCCCUUUCCCCCAGCCCUGCUCAUCCCACCUGGCUGUGCCCCCCCAUCCCCAAACACACCUGGGGGCUGUUCUGGCGCUACUCAAUCCACCUAGCUGGCUGUGCCCUCAGUUCACUGCUGCCCAGCCCCCUACCUUCCAAACACACACGUAACUGGGGGCAGUCCUCCUCCAUCAGCACCACUGGAACAACCCCACCUAGCUGUGCCUUCUGCCCAGCUCCCAGGCCCCAAACACGCACCCCUGGGGGCUGCCCUGCUCAACCCACACCACCUGGCUGUACCUUCAGCCAAGUCGUGCCCAACAAUCCCCUGAAACACACACAUAUACAUACCUGGGGACUGCUCCCCCCCCCCUUGGGCGUUGUCUGCUCUAUUAGUCAAAAAACAAUCUCUGCCAGCUGUUAGGCCUUGCCUGACACUCAUCUGGGACUGCUCCUUAUCCACAUUCCAAGGAGUGUCUUGUUCUCGUCCCAGCUCAGACGAGUGACCCGAUUUUAAAAGUCACUUUCUGAAUAACAAGGCGCUUUGUCCUUGCUCCCAUCACCACAGAUAAAGGGCAUCUUAUCUGCCUGCCGCCUGAUAAGAUGGCGCUUUCCGGAUUACUGGGGAAAGUGGUGAAUUUAGUGCUGGUGAAUGGUGCUGAAUUAUGUGACCUUCGGCUGAGACAUGAAAGAUGCUGGAUUGGAAGUUCUGGAGCCUGAAGCUUCCUAUUUACUACAGAACAGGUGUCCACAUCACAGAAACGAUCUGCUAGAUAAUGCACUGAGACCACCAACCAACCAACUGGUAACAGUCCUUCAGCACUAUCAGCCUGGCAGAAGACUGAAUCAGUAAUCUAGAGAUGAGAGGAAAGGUGGCAAUUGCUAACUAAAAUUAGAAGAUGUGGACUCAGAAAUCACUUGCGAGGCCUGUAAAGAGAACUUACGAUGAGCAAUUUCCUGCUGUGAGAAUGAACGGGCUGAAUUCUGAGAAGCAUCAUGUUCCAUCUGGGGCUCUGUGGACAGCCUUCUAUUCCUGGAUCCAUCCCAGAAGCUCAAGCUCCUGAAACUGCAGUGGGCACUGAGCCAGCAACAAGGAGAGAUUUAAUCGGCGUCCGAGCAGGUUCAGAAUGACAGUGUAGUGUGCAUUUGGUAGAUGGUAAGGAUGUUAACCAGGCUGGAUCUCACCAAGGCAAAUAUCCCGAUGGUUGUCGCUGCAUGGUGUGUUUUACAAAAUAUCCAUAAAGCAAAGGGGGAAACCGUCGCUGGCAGGGUGGGGGGAAGUGGAAAGGCCGUCUGCUGACUUCGAACAGCCGUGACUCAAGGGCCCAUUGUGGUGCUGGGCAGUUGAAGAAGGCCUUGUGCUUUGACCGUGCCCCAUCCUCAGGCAGUAUGCUGCUUUGUGUUAAUUUGUAUCCUUUCGUGAUUCAGCAGUAGUUGGCUGGCAUCUGAAUUGUCGAUUAACGGUUUUGGAGGUUGCGUGGCUGUCUUGCAAGACCAAAUAAAUACAUCUUGAUUGUCCCCGACUCAGAGCUCCAGAGGUGACCGGAGAACAUGCCCUUCCUUGACCUUUUCUUCUUCCUUCUGCUCAAGGUCAGUUUUUCAGCAGGUGCAGAAGGGGUACCCCCGUUGAGGCCACUGCUAACAACAGGCCAGAUAGACAUUGUUAGAUUUAAAGAGUUGGCAGAUAGGAAAAGAGAGAGAAAAAUCUUCCUAAAAGGCUCCCAUAAAGAUCUUAAUAAAACAAUGAACAGCAUCAGGCUAGCUUCAGAGCCGCUGACUUUAGGACAG